rnacentral:rRNA from 1 species
CCUGGUUGAUCCUGCCAGUAGUCAUAUGCUUGUCUCAAAGAUUAAGCCAUGCAUGUGUAAGUAUGAACUAAUUCAGACUGUGAAACUGCGAAUGGCUCAUUAAAUCAGUUAUAGUUUGUUUGAUGGUACCUACUACUCGGAUAACCGUAGUAAUUCUAGAGCUAAUACGUGCCAACAAAACCCCCGACUUCUGGAAAGGGAUGCAUUUAUUAGAUAAAAGGUCGACGCGGGCUCUGCCCGUUGCUGCCGAUGAUUCAUGAUAAACUCGACGGAUCGCACGGCCCUUAGCGCCCGGCGACGCAUCAUUCAAAUUUCUGCCCUAUCAACUUUCCGAUGGUAGGAUAGUGGGCCUACCAUGGUGGUGACGCGGUGACGGGAGGAAUUAGGGUUCGAUUCCGGAGAGGGAGCUGGAGAAACGGCUACCACAUCCAAGGAAGGCAGCAGGCGCGCAAAUUACCCAAUCCUGACACGGGGAGGUAGUGACAAGAAAUAACAAGUACCGGGCUCGAGUCGAGGCUGGCGUAAGGGAAUGAGUACAAUCUAAAUCCCUUAACGAGGAGUCCAUUGGGAAGGGCAAGUCGGGGGCCAGCAGCCGCCGGAAUUCCAGCUCAAUGAGCGUAGAUUUAAGGGUUGCAGUUAAAAAGCUCGUAGUUGGGACUUGGGAUGGGCCGGCCGGUCCGCCCCACGGGUGGCACGGGCGUCGCCGUCCCUCGGCCCGGCGAUGGCGCUCCGGGCCUUAAGUGGGCCGGGUCGUGCCUCCGGCGGCUGUGACUGGAAGAAAUAGAGGGCGCAAAGCAAGCCGACGCGCGUGGAGACAGGAGCAGGGAGAACAGGAGAGGAUGUGCGGGCCGAGUACGGGGGCCGGCGGGACGGAGGAAGGAGGAACAGGGACAGUCGGGGGCAGGCGGAGUGCAGAGGCAGAGGGGAAAGGCGGGAGGGAGGAAAGACGAACAACGGCGAAAGCAGUGGGCCAAGGAGGGGCAUGAAGCAAGAACGAAAGGGGGGGGCCGAAGACGAGCAGAGACCGGCCGAGGCGCAACCAGAAACGAGGCCGACCAGGGAGCGGCGGAGGUGGCUGGUGAGGACGCCGCCGGCACCGGAGGAGAAAGCAAAGGCUGGGGGUGCCGGGGGGAGGAGGGGCGCAAGGCGGAAACUGGAAAGGAAGGGACGGAAGGGCACCACCAGGAGGGGAGCCGGCGGCGUAAGGGGACGCAACACGGGGAAACGGACCAGGGCCAGACAGAGGAAGGAGGGACAGACGGAGAGCGCGGGCGAGAGGCGAGGGGGGGGGGGGCAGGGCCGGCGGAGGGGGGGGAGCGAGGGGCGGGGAAGGCCGGGAACGAACGAGACCGCAGCCGGCGAACGAGCGAGGCGGAGGGAGCCCGCCGCGGCCAGCGGCGGAGAGGGACGACGGCCGGGCAAGCCGCGGAAGGGGGAGGCCAAUGAACAGGGCGGGGAGGCCCGGAGAGGGCGGGGCCGCACGCGCGCGACACGGAGGGAGGCAACGAGCAGAGAGCCGGGGCGGACAGGGCCCGGGGAAGCGGGGAAAGGGCAGCGGGAGGGGGAGAGAGCAGGGCAAGGGGGGGCUGCAACGAGGAAGGCCGAGGAAGCGCGAGGCAGCAGCGCGCGGGACGACGGCCCGGCCGGGGACACACCGCCCGGCGCGCCGACCGAGGGAAGGAGCCGGGGAAGGGGGCGGAGCGCGGCGACGGGGGCGGGGCGCGGCCCGCGACGGCGCCGAGAAGGCCACGGAACCGGAGCAGGAGAGGAAGGAGAAGGCGGAACAAGGGGGCCGGAGGGGAACCGGCGGAAG